rnacentral:lncRNA from 1 species
AUUUGCACUAUGUGGUGCUAUGUUGAGAUGAAACACGCGCUGUGUGAUGAGCGUGGUGAUGUUACUGCAGGGGAUUCAGACUUGGUCAAUUCUGAUUGAUGACUUACUGUACUAUGCUAUGUUGAGAUGAAACACACGUCGUAUGAUGAGCGUUGUGAUAUUACUGCUGGGAAUUCGGAUUUGGUCCAUCCCGAUUGAUGACUUACUGUCCUUUUUGACUGAGACUAAGCCUAUAUCUGUAUAUUUUGGGCUAGUUGCCAUGUUUGGGGCCUUGUGCUGAUAUGUAGAACCCUUAGGGAGCAUGUUGAGCUUAUUGAUCUCACUUUACCUAUUGAACACAUACUCUC